GACGAACGCUGGCGGCGUGCCUAAUACAUGCAAGUUGAGCGCUGAAGGUUGGUACUUGUACCAACUGGAUGAGCAGCGAACGGGUGAGUAACGCGUGGGGAAUCUGCCUUUGAGCGGGGGACAACAUUUGGAAACGAAUGCUAAUACCGCAUAAAAACUUUAAACACAAGUUUUAAGUUUGAAAGAUGCAAUUGCAUCACUCAAAGAUGAUCCCGCGUUGUAUUAGCUAGUUGGUGAGGUAAAGGCUCACCAAGGCGAUGAUACAUAGCCGACCUGAGAGGGUGAUCGGCCACAUUGGGACUGAGACACGGCCCAAACUCCUACGGGAGGCAGCAGUAGGGAAUCUUCGGCAAUGGACGAAAGUCUGACCGAGCAACGCCGCGUGAGUGAAGAAGGUGUUCGGAUCGUAAAACUCUGUUGGUAGAGAAGAACGUUGGUGAGAGUGGAAAGCUCAUCAAGUGACGGUACUACCCAGAAAGGGACGGCUAACUACGUG
rnacentral:rRNA from 1 species